UCCGGCUUGUCACCGGCGGUUUCUUCAGAGUGCUCGACCGAAUCGGUAGCAACUGAAGACGAGGGUUGCGCUCGUUGCGGGACUUAACCUUACCUGGGCUAGACAACGACGGAAAGCCCCAUCUCUGGGGGUGUCCGUCGUUGUCUAGCCCAGGUAAGGUUCUUCGCGUUGCGUCGAAUUGAACCACAUGCUCCACCGCUUGUGCGGGCCCCCGUCAAUUCCUUUGAGUUUCAACCUUGCGGCCGUACUUCCCAGGCGGAAUACUUAAUGCGUUAGCUGCGGCACCGGCGGUAACCCGCCGACACUUAGUAUUCAUAGUUUAAGGCGUGGACUAC
rnacentral:misc_RNA from 1 species